ACUCCUACGGGAGGCAGCAGUAGGGAAUCUUCCACAAUGGGCGCAAGCCUGAUGGAGCAACACCGCGUGAGUGAAGAAGGGUUUCGGCUCGUAAAGCUCUGUUGUUAAAGAAGAACACGUAUGAGAGUAACUGUUCAUACGUUGACGGUAUUUAACCAGAAAGUCACGGCUAACUACGUGCCAGCAGCCGCGGUAAUACGUAGGUGGCAAGCGUUAUCCGGAUUUAUUGGGCGUAAAGAGAGUGCAGGCGGUUUUCUAAGUCUGAUGUGAAAGCCUUCGGCUUAACCGGAGAAGUGCAUCGGAAACUGGAUAACUUGAGUGCAGAAGAGGGUAGUGGAACUCCAUGUGUAGCGGUGGAAUGCGUAGAUAUAUGGAAGAACACCAGUGGCGAAGGCGGCUACCUGGUCUGCAACUGACGCUGAGACUCGAAAGCAUGGGUAGCGAACAGGAUUAGAUACCCUGGUAGGCAACCG
rnacentral:rRNA from 1 species